rnacentral:ncRNA from 2 species
AGUAACCUCAGCGACUGGCGAAACGUGGAAUUGACCACGAGGGAGCUGCAGGAAAUCAUACAGGCCGUUCGCCUGGGCCAAGGCA